rnacentral:rRNA from 1 species
AGAGUUUGAUCCUGGCUCAGGAUGAACGCUGGCGGCGUGCCUAAUACAUGCAAGUCGAGCGAACGGACGAGAAGCUUGCUUCUCUGAUGUUAGCGGCGGACGGGUGAGUAACACGUGGAUAACCUACCUAUAAGACUGGGAUAACUUCGGGAAACCGGAGCUAAUACCGGAUAAUAUUUUGAACCGCAUGGUUCAAAAGUGAAAGACGGUCUUGCUGUCACUUAUAGAUGGAUCCGCGCUGCAUUAGCUAGUUGGUAAGGUAACGGCUUACCAAGGCAACGAUGCAUAGCCGACCUGAGAGGGUGAUCGGCCACACUGGAACUGAGACACGGUCCAGACUCCUACGGGAGGCAGCAGUAGGGAAUCUUCCGCAAUGGGCGAAAGCCUGACGGAGCGACGCCGCGUGAGUGAUGAAGGUCUUCGGAUCGUAAAACUCUGUUAUUAGGGAAGAACAUAUGUGUAAGUAACUGUGCACAUCUUGACGGUACCUAAUCAGAAAGCCACGGCUAACUACGUGCCAGCAGCCGCGGUAAUACGUAGGUGGCAAGCGUUAUCCGGAAUUAUUGGGCGUAAAGCGCGCGUAGGCGGUUUUUUAAGUCUGAUGUGAAAGCCCACGGCUCAACCGUGGAGGGUCAUUGGAAACUGGAAAACUUGAGUGCAGAAGAGGAAAGUGGAAUUCCAUGUGUAGCGGUGAAAUGCGCAGAGAUAUGGAGGAACACCAGUGGCGAAGGCGACUUUCUGGUCUGUAACUGACGCUGAUGUGCGAAAGCGUGGGGAUCAAACAGGAUUAGAUACCCUGGUAGUCCACGCCGUAAACGAUGAGUGCUAAGUGUUAGGGGGUUUCCGCCCCUUAGUGCUGCAGCUAACGCAUUAAGCACUCCGCCUGGGGAGUACGACCGCAAGGUUGAAACUCAAAGGAAUUGACGGGGACCCGCACAAGCGGUGGAGCAUGUGGUUUAAUUCGAAGCAACGCGAAGAACCUUACCAAAUCUUGACAUCCUUUGACAACUCUAGAGAUAGAGCCUUCCCCUUCGGGGGACAAAGUGACAGGUGGUGCAUGGUUGUCGUCAGCUCGUGUCGUGAGAUGUUGGGUUAAGUCCCGCAACGAGCGCAACCCUUAAGCUUAGUUGCCAUCAUUAAGUUGGGCACUCUAAGUUGACUGCCGGUGACAAACCGGAGGAAGGUGGGGAUGACGUCAAAUCAUCAUGCCCCUUAUGAUUUGGGCUACACACGUGCUACAAUGGACAAUACAAAGGGCAGCGAAACCGCGAGGUCAAGCAAAUCCCAUAAAGUUGUUCUCAGUUCGGAUUGUAGUCUGCAACUCGACUACAUGAAGCUGGAAUCGCUAGUAAUCGUAGAUCAGCAUGCUACGGUGAAUACGUUCCCGGGUCUUGUACACACCGCCCGUCACACCACGAGAGUUUGUAACACCCGAAGCCGGUGGAGUAACCUUUUAGGAGCUAGCCGUCGAAGGUGGGACAAAUGAUUGGGGUGAAGUCGUAACAAGGUAGCCGUAUCGGAAGGUGCGGCUGGAUCACCU